AACGUAGGUGGCAAGCGUUAUCCGGAUUUACUGGGCGUAAAGCGUGUGCAGGCUGCGCGUCAAGUGGUGUAUGAAAUCGCUCGGCUCAACCGGGCGCGGUUAUGCCAGACUGGCGUGCUAGAGACUGAGAGAGGGUGGUGGAAUUCCGGGUGUAGUGGUGAAAUGCGUAGAGAUCCGGAGGAACCCCAGAGGCGAAGGCGGCCACCUGGCUCAGUUCUGACGCUCAGACACGACAGCAUGGGGAGCGAACGGG
rnacentral:rRNA from 1 species